ACGAGAAAGGGGAGCAAUCCCUGAGUACAGUGGCGACCGGGUGAGUAACACGUGACUACCUGCCCUCCAGUGGGGGAUAACUCCGGGAAACCGGGGCUAAUACCGCAUAACACCGUGAGGUCAAAGCAGCAAUGCGCUGGAGGAGGGGGUCGCGGCUGAUUAGCUUGUUGGCGGGGUAACGGCCCACCAAGGCGAUGAUCGGUAGCCGGCCUGAGAGGGCGCACGGCCACACUGGAACUGAAACACGGUCCAGACUCCUACGGGAGGCAGCAGUGGGGAAUUUUGCGCAAUGGGGGAAACCCUGACGCAGCAACGCCGCGUGGAGGAUGAAGUCCCUUGGGACGUAAACCCCUUUCGACCCGGACGAUGAUGACGGUACGGGUGGAAGAAGCCCCGGCUAACUUCGUGCCAGCAGCCGCGGUAAUACGAGGGGGGCGAGCGUUGUUCGGAAUUAUUGGGCGUAAAGGGCGCGUAGGCGGUGCGGUAAGUCUCCUGUGAAAUCCCCCGGCUCAACUGGGGGCCUGCAGGCGAAACUGCCGUGCUCGAGGGUGGGAGAGGUGCGUGGAAUUCCCGGUGUAGCGGUGAAAUGCGUAGAGAUCGGGAGGAACACCUGUGGCGAAAGCGGCGCACUGGACCAUUGCUGACGCUGAGGCGCGAAAGCUAGGGGAGCAAACAGGAUUAGAUACCCUGGUAGUCCUAGCCCUAAACCAUGGAUGCUUGGUGUAGCGGGUACCCAAUCCCGCUGUGCCGCAGCUCACGCGAUAAGCAUCCCGCCUGGGGAGUACGGUCG
rnacentral:rRNA from 1 species